rnacentral:rRNA from 1 species
UACGUCCCGGACCUUGUACACACCGCCCGUCACACCACGAAAGUCGGCAAUACCCGAAGCCGGUGGCCUAACCCGUAAGGGAGGGAGCCGUCUAAGGUAGGGUCGAUGAUUGGGGUG